rnacentral:rRNA from 1 species
GUGAAAAAUAGUCAUAUUGGGGACUAGAGUGGCUCUGUGAUUCAAGGAUCAUGGAUACCACUCCGCGAGACUAAAGGGAGUGAAGGUGAGCUUGCCCCAACAGAGCAUGGCUUGAGGUGUGC